AUCGAACGCUGGCGGCAGGCCUAACACAUGCAAGUCGAGCGAGCGGCGGACGGGUGAGUAAUGUAUGGGGACUGCCCGAUAGAGGGGGAUAACUACUGGAAACGGUGGCUAAUACCGCAUACUAUCGGAUAACCCAUAUGGGAUUAGCUAGUAGGUGGGGUAAAGGCUCACCUAGGCCACGAUCUCUAGCUGGUCCGGGGGGAUGAUCGGCAACCCUGGACCUGGGACACGGCCCAAACUCCUACGGAGGAAGCGGUGGGGAUUAUUGCAAAAUGGGCGCAAGCCUUAUGCGGCCAUGCCGCGUGUAUGAGGAGGGCCUUAGGGUUGUAAGGUACUUUCAGCGGGGAGGCGUUACCCGCAGAAGAAGCACCGGCUAACUCCGUGCCAGCAGCCGCGGUAAUAC
rnacentral:rRNA from 1 species